rnacentral:rRNA from 1 species
GACGGACGCUGGCGGCGUGCCUAAUACAUGCAAGUCGAGCGGAUGACGGAGGAGCUUGCUCCUCUCGAUUCAGCGGCGGACGGGUGAGUAACACGUGGGCAACCUGCCCUGUAGAUUGGGAUAACUCCGGGAAACCGGGGCUAAUACCGAAUAAUCCUUCGGACCUCAUGGUCCGAUGUUGAAAGACGGCAUCUCGCUGUCACUACAGGAUGGGCCCGCGGCGCAUUAGCUAGUUGGUGAGGUAACGGCUCACCAAGGCGACGAUGCGUAGCCGACCUGAGAGGGUGAUCGGCCACACUGGGACUGAGACACGGCCCAGACUCCUACGGGAGGCAGCAGUAGGGAACCUUCCACAAUGGACGAAAGUCUGAUGGAGCAACGCCGCGUGAGUGAAGAAGGUUCUCGGAUCGUAAAACUCUGUUGUGAGGGAAGAACAAGUACCGGAGUAACUGCCGGUGCCUUGACGGUACCUUCAGAAGAAGCCCCGGCUAACUACGUGCCAGCAGCCGCCGUAAAAC